rfam:Haloarcula marismortui ATCC 43049 chromosome I, complete sequence.
GGGGUCGUGGCCUAGUCCGGGAAGGCGGCUGACUCCAGAGGCCACGCGCCUGGGACGACACUCCAAGGGCUGAUAUACUGAGCGGCCGGCUGAUCACCGGUUCGCGACGAUGACCCUCUGGAGUUCCGAGGCGCAGGACGGAGAUAUCAGCCGAUCGGGGGUUCAAAUCCCUCCGACCCCA